rnacentral:lncRNA from 1 species
CUCUUAGUAAGGUACAAUGUAAAUAAAUGUCAAUUUUAAUAUAAUUUUUAUAAUUGCUAUUUUAAUUUGUCUUUAUCAGUAGUUUCUCAGACAAUACUUCCAUUACCUGACUGGAAAUGUGUCCCCAUAAUAUUUGCUAAAUAAUGAAUGAAGAUAAACAGUUUACCUAUCUGCACUGUUUUCUAUAAAAUAUCAUUGAAUUAUUUCUUGAACACUAAAUGGAUUUUUUGUAUCUCUGACAUUCUUACCAAAAGUUUUGUUUCUUUUUUCUGUUUUUGACACAGGGUCUUGUUCUGUCACCCAGACUGGAGUGGAGUGGUGCAAUCACAGCUCCUUUUGGCCACCAACUCCCGGACCCAAACAAUCCUACCACCUCAGCCUCCUGAGUAUUUGGGACUACAGGCAUGAUUCACUAUACCUAACUCUCAACCAAAAGUUCAAGAUCAUUAAGCAUUGCUUUACAAGGUACAAUCACUACAAGGUCUAUAACAAUGAUGGAUAUCAGAGAUCAUCUUCUUGUGGGAAUCAGUCAUGGCUGACUUGGGAACUGAGGACCGCUGAGCCUAGAGCUUCCAGUUAUCAGUGCAUGAUGGAUGCAUGGAUGGAUUUUAUUUACUUAGAACAAUUCCUAGCAUUGAGGCACCGCAUAUUAAAUAUUUGUGAAAUGAAAAAAAAAGUUUGAAUAAAUGAAUGGAUGAUUGAAUGAAUGGACUGAACAAAGUAGAAUUAUUUUUAUUUAGUAUUUGCUUCUGUUUUGAGACUAUGAACAAAUAUUCCCUAAAUAUUAGUUGAGAAAAGAGAAUGCCAUAGGAUUAAAAAAAGAAGGCACUGGUAAGUGAAAUGAUUGCAUUUUAUAUGAAUGACAUUUCUGAAGAACACAAUAGUGUGGUUAAGUGAUUUGAAAUAGCUGGGAAUCAUAUUGCUAAAUAAUGCCAUUGAAAUUUCUGAGAACUUUCAGGAAUAACUUAUUUUUUAACGUCCAAGACAGCAUCCAGUCAUAAUUGUCAUUGAAGAAACAAAAAAUACUGAUAGGGCUUGGCUGUGUCCCCACCCAAAUCUCAAAUUGAAUUGUGGUUCCCAUAAUCCCCAUGUGUCAUGGGAGUGACCCAGUGGGAGGUAAUUAAAUCAUGGGGGCAAUUUCCCCCAUGCUAUUCUCAUGGUAGUAAGUUAGUUCUCACGAGAUCUGAUGGUUUUAUAAGGGGCUUCCCCCUUAGCUCGGUUUUCAUUCUCCUCAUUCCACCAUGAUUGUAAGUUUCCUGAGGCCACCUAGUUCUGCAGAACUGUGAGUCUAUUAAACCUCUUUCUUUUAUAAAUUACCCAGUCUCAGGUUUGUCCUUAUAGCAACAUGGGAAUGGACUAAUACAGAUAUGUAAUAUUAAGUACUGUGUCUUAGUAGAUCAGUUUGGUUAGAUAUCUAAGAAUUAAAUUUAAGUCUUGAACUCUCAGUUUACUAUACAAAUUAAAAAUAAAAAUCACCGAGGAUUUUAAUUAUAGCUGACGUAAUAGUUUCCGCCAUUGUACAGAAUUGAAUUGCUAUGUCACCAACUCUACUUGAUUAAAAAAAAAAAAAAUCAAUUUAUUAUCUUGGGUAUCUUAAACAGUUGAAACAUAAAUGUUUUUUGUAUUCAAUAUAUCUGAAUAAAUGAAAAAUGAAUAUGACUCUUAAAAAGCAAUUCUAUUGUAAGAAACUAAAAAGUUUCUUACAAUAACCAUGAAAUCCAUUAGCUAUUUCAGAGAGAGAGAGAAAAAAAAAAACACUGGCUUUAGAUCACCUAAGAAGCAGCUUAGGAGGGAGGAAAUUACUUAUGUUUUGUGAACUAUUUAUCGUGACACUUCCUGGUGAAAACCACAACACAAAUCUCAAACCAACUUACACAACACAGAUGGGUUUUCUCAGAGUUCCAGGUUCAUAUAUAAAACAAAUCCUUUGUUUCAUUCAUCACUAUACUCAAAGAUUUGGAAAAAAAAACAGACAAACGUACUAAUUGUUUUCAAAGAGGACAUAUGCUUGAAAUGCAGUAGUUUUUAGGAUGCUAACUGUCAAGAAUAUCUUAAAAAAGAAAAGAUACUACACUAUUUUCAUAUAGAAUUAUUUGUUAGUUCAAUAACUAUAAGGAUUGGAAGCUAUCUUGGAAAUCUAUUGUUUGUUUCGAAUAUCAAGAAAUUAAUGUCAGGGUUUACAUAGCUCAAAAAAACUUGUAUAGAUAAAUAGUAGCUACAUUGGGAUUAAGACUCAGGUUUUCUGAUUCAUGGCCUAUAUGAAUAUUAACUUGCUAUAAUAUCUGCUUAUUCAAUUGAGUUUUAUGAUAGCAUAUUAGUUAUUGCCUUCAUAAAAUAAAUAAAAUUGAAUUAUAAAUGUCAUUUGGAGUUGGGAAGUGGAUACAAAGCAAA